GAGUUUGAUCAUGGCUCAGGAUGAACGCUAGCGGCAGGCUUAACACAUGCAAGUCGAGGGGUAUAGUUCUUCGGAAUUAGAGACCGGCGCACGGGUGCGUAACGCGUAUGCAAUCUACCUUUCACAGAGGGAUAGCCCAGAGAAAUUUGGAUUAAUACCUCAUAGUAUAACGACUCCGCAUGGAGCUGUUAUUAAAGUCACAACGGUGAAAGAUGAGCAUGCGUCCCAUUAGCUAGUUGGUAAGGUAACGGCUUACCAAGGCUACGAUGGGUAGGGGUCCUGAGAGGGAGAUCCCCCACACUGGUACUGAGACACGGACCAGACUCCUACGGGAGGCAGCAGUGAGGAAUAUUGGACAAUGGGCGCAAGCCUGAUCCAGCCAUGCCGCGUGCAGGAUGACGGUCCUAUGGAUUGUAAACUGCUUUUGCACAGGAAGAAACACCCCCUCGUGAGGGGGCUUGACGGUACUGUGAGAAUAAGGAUCGGCUAACUCCGUGCCAGCAGCCGCGGUAAUACGGAGGAUCCAAGCGUUAUCCGGAAUCAUUGGGUUUAAAGGGUCCGUAGGCGGUUUAGUAAGUCAGUGGUGAAAGCCCAUCGCUCAACGGUGGAACGGCCAUUGAUACUGCUAGACUUGAAUUAUUAGGAAGUAACUAGAAUAUGUAGUGUAGCGGUGAAAUGCUU
rnacentral:rRNA from 1 species